rnacentral:rRNA from 1 species
GACAGAGGGUGCAAACGUUUGUUCGGAAUUACUGGGCGUAAAGCGCGUGUAGGCGGCCCGGAAAGUCGGAUGUGAAAGCCCUGGGCUUAACCUAGGAAGUGCAUUCGAAACUCCCGUGGCUUGAGUUCUGGAGAGGGAAGCGGAAUUCUCGGUGUAGAGGUGAAAUUCGUAGAUAUCGAGAGGAACACCGGUGGCGAAGGCGGCUUCCUGGACAGUGACGUGACGCUGAGACGCGAAAGCGUGGGGAGCAAACAGGG